rnacentral:rRNA from 1 species
CCCGCACAAGCGGCGGAGCAUGCGGAUUAAUUCGAUGCAACGCGAGAACCUUCAAGGCUUGACAUACACCGGUAACGCCCAGAGAUGGGUGCCCCUUUGUGGUCGGUGUACAGGUGGUGCAUGGUUGUCGUCAGCUCGUGUCGUGAGAUGUUGGGUUAAGUCCCGCAACGAGCGCAACCCUCGUCCUAUGUUGCCAGCGGGUCAUGCCGGGGACUCAUGGGAGACUGCCGGGGUCAACUCGGAGGAAGGUGGGGAUGACGUCAAAUCAUCAUGCCCCUUAUGUCUUGGGCUUCACGCAUGCUGCAAUGGCCGGUACAAAGGGCUGCGAUACCGCGAGGUGGAGCGAAUCCCAGAAAGCCGGUCUCAGUUCGGAUUGGGGUCUGCAACUCGCCUACAUGAAGUCGGAAUCGCUAGUAAUCGCGGAUCAGCACGCCGCGGUGAAUACGUUCCCGGGCCUU